rnacentral:rRNA from 1 species
GACGAACGCUGGCGGCGUGCCUAAUACAUGCAAGUAGAACGCUGAAGGAGGAGCUUGCUUCUCUGGAUGAGUUGCGAACGGGUGAGUAACGCGUAGGUAACCUGCCUGGUAGCGGGGGAUAACUAUUGGAAACGAUAGCUAAUACCGCAUAAUAGUAGAUGUUGCAUGACAUUUGCUUAAAAGGUGCAAUUGCAUCACUACCAGAUGGACCUGCGUUGUAUUAGCUAGUUGGUGAGGUAACGGCUCACCAAGGCAACGAUACAUAGCCGACCUGAGAGGGUGAUCGGCCACACUGGGACUGAGACACGGCCCAGACUCCUACGGGAGGCAGCAGUAGGGAAUCUUCGGCAAUGGACGGAAGGCUGACCGAGCAACGCCGCGUGAGUGAAGAAGGUUUUCGGAUCGUAAAGCUCUGUUGUAAGAGAAGAACGAGUGUGAGAGUGGAAAGUUCACACUGUGACGGUAUCUUACCAGAAAGGGACGGCUAACUACGUG